UACGGGGGGGAGCAAGCGUUGUUCGGAUUUACUGGGCGUAAAGGGCGCGUAGGCGGCCAGCACAAGUCAGUUGUGAAAUCUCCGAGCUUAACUCGGAACGGUCAAGUGAUACUGUCGGACUAGAGUACAGAAGGGGCAACUGGAAUUCUCGGUGUAGCGGUGAAAUGCGUAGAUAUCGUAAGGAAGACCAGUGGCGAAGGCGAGUCUCUGGACAGUUACUGACGCUGAGGCACGAAGGCCAGGGGAGCAAACGGG
rnacentral:rRNA from 1 species